rnacentral:rRNA from 1 species
GACGAACGCUAGCGGCGCGCCUAACACAUGCAAGUCGAACGAGCGAGAGAGAGCUUGCUUUCUUGAGCGAGUGGCGAACGGGUGAGUAACGCGUGAGGAACCUGCCUCAAAGAGGGGGACAACAGUUGGAAACGACUGCUAAUACCGCAUAAGCCCACGACCCGGCAUCGGGUUGAGGGAAAAGGAGCAAUCCGCUUUGAGAUGGCCUCGCGUCCGAUUAGCUGGUUGGUGAGGUAACGGCCCACCAAGGCGACGAUCGGUAGCCGGACUGAGAGGUUGAACGGCCACAUUGGGACUGAGACACGGCCCAGACUCCUACGGGAGGCAGCAGUGGGGAAUAUUGCACAAUGGGGGAAACCCUGAUGCAGCGACGCCGCGUGGAGGAAGAAGGUCUUCGGAUUGUAAACUCCUGUUGUUGAGGAAGAUAAUGACGGUACUCAACAAGGAAGUGACGGCUAACUACGUGCCAGCAGCCGCGGUAAAACGUAGGUCACAAGCGUUGUCCGGAAUUACUGGGUGUAAAGGGAGCGCAGGCGGGAAGACAAGUUGGAAGUGAAAUCUAUGGGCUCAACCCAUAAACUGCUUUCAAAACUGUUUUUCUUGAGUAGUGCAGAGGUAGGCGGAAUUCCCGGUGUAGCGGUGGAAUGCGUAGAUAUCGGGAGGAACACCAGUGGCGAAGGCGGCCUACUGGGCACCAACUGACGCUGAGGCUCGAAAGUGUGGGUAGCAAACAGG